UACACAAGGGCGUGUGCGGCGCACGUGUGCUCCUCCCCCCUCGCCCUCUCCCACUCCCCCCAUUGCACACACGCAAGCGGAUCUACUCGCUUUUCUUCUUCAUAGUCGUCGUCAUUGCUCUGCGCGCGCGCGCGUCUUCUCUUUUCUAGACUCGGUUGCUGUGCAGCCCGUGGCGUGAGCGCGGCGUGCGUCGGUGCGCUCUUGAGGGCUGCCCUACUCCCUUGUUUUGGCCUUUCCCUGCUGCAGCGCGUAUCAUCUCUUUGAAACGAAGGUACCGCCGCUGUAACUUAGAUACAGACGACGGGUGUGUGAGGGACGUCACAAGAGUGCGUCACGCCUUGCUGCCGUCUUUCUCGUCCCCUGUCCUCCUUGUGAGCGCUCGCUGCUGAAAACGUCUGUCCAUCGAGGGCGGCGCACAUUCUCCGCCAUGUACAUUCUGGAGCUUAACUACGGGGAUGGCGAGAUCCACCGACAUUUUCUGCUGCCGGACCAGACAUACACGCUGGGCAGGAAGACGUGCCGCAUCUUGCUUCCAGUGGCUGAACCGUCCAUCUCGCGCCACCACGCCACCAUCUUCGUGGCGCCGAUGCCCCGCUAUAGCGUCCUGGACCCCUCGGCGCAGCUGGAGAUCCGCAUCGAAGACGUAUCGAAGCACGGCACUUUUGUCGACCGCGAGCGCAUCGGGAAGGGUAACUCGCGAUUCUUGUACCCGGAGGACCGCAUUCGACUCGGCCUUCGCGUCACGGCGCGAAUCAUUCCGGUGAUGCUCGUGCUUGCCAUCUCGCCAGACUUAACAGACGCGAGUUUAGACUUAGUGCUGGACGCGUGCGUGCACGUUGGCGCCCUCGUCGUCGAGGACUCCAUCCCGGCGCCACUGUCGUACUACGAGCAGCACAUCAACUGCAUCGGCUUUCUGUACGUUGCGGAGGAUAGCUUCAGGAUGGAGGAGACGAUGAUGACGGCACUUGGGCACGGUUACACGCUCGUGACGCCACAAUACAUCGCUAAUUUGGUUCGCAGCCUUGAGAAGAAGAGCACGCUAAUGCCGGGAGAGUUUCCGUCGCCCUCCUCGCCACUGCCGGCGUCUCACACGCUGCGCGGCGUGCAUUACCGCCCCCCCGCCCAUACUUUUUUCUCAGUCACGGAGUUCCUGUCGAUUGGCCGCCCGAUGAUGGCCGAGAUCUUCCGCGACCGCACAUUUGUGUUGCUAGAGAGUGCCCUGGGGGAGACCUACAGUGAGGUGCUGCGCCUGUUUGGGGGCACCGUAGAGGCGGUGGCGCUGGAUGCCGUCGCCGCAUGGCGCUCGCGGCAGUCGUCCUCACCACCGUUCCCGCUGACCACCGUCGUGCUCGUCGGUGAGGCGGACUUCCGCAGUGUGUCGGAAGAGGUCAUCGAGCGCGGCGGUGGUCGGGGGUUGUUCUCGACGGAGCACGCGCGCCCCGUCAUCUGCGGUUAUCUCACCAUGUACAAGUACGGCGUCUGCCUCAUACCAGAGGAGAACGUGCACCUCGCGCUUUACCGUAAUGACCUCAAGGAGCUGAACGCGAAGCCGGGAUCGUGCUACCUCCAGCGCACCGCCGAUGACUUGCUGGCCGACGCGGCGCCGUCUUCUGCGGACGCUGCCCCGCUGCUCGGGCGAAGCGGAACGUUCACCGGCUCGAGCUCAGCGAGCCGCCGCGGCAGCACCACCCGCGUGUCGGAGUCGCCGGCUAACGCGUCGCCAUCACCAGCGGCGACGAUCGACCCGGCACCGGUCCUUGCCAGACGCUCGUGCGAGCCCUCCUUCAAUGCUGGCUACUCACCUAGUCGGGCGGACGAAGAUGGCAACUCGCCGGCAGCGGCGCGGCCGGCAACCGCCGCCCCGACGACGGCUACGGCGAACUCGACUGGGGACGUGCGGAGCUGCGACGGCUCUCGCGGCGCCAGUCCUAAUCCCCCCAGCUCUCUCCACUCUGUUCAUAGCGCUGGUAAAGCGUCGGCAGCUCGAGAAAAAAGCUUGAAUAGCGUCUCCGCAGGUCCGUCUCCCUACACUGCGGCCCCAGCCACCACGUCCGUUGCUGCGGUGCCGCCAUCAGCGCACUUGAAGGGGGCUAGCCACGCGCAGGAUACAGCUACCUCAUCCACCCAGUCUCUGCUGACGUCGGUGGCGACAACUGCGUCGUCGUCAGCCUGUGCUGGCGGCGGUGGCGGUGCCACCACCGCCUUCCGAUGCGGAGACAGGCCUGCCUCCGCAACGUCCGCAACUACGGCGACGAUCGCCCCGAGCGCGGCGUCGGCGCCGCAGCGCCUGCGCGUCAAUACUGCCCGGCGCAACUCGCACCCGUUCUCGCUCUCAGCCCGGCAGCGCGACGGUGGCGAGGAGGGCGACGACGAGGAGUGCACCAACAACGGCACCGGCGGCGUGCUGGAGCCUGAGGAGGCUGAGGGUUCUCACUUGCACCGCCGCGGCGCAGCCUCGUUGACCCGCCGCUCACGCGGCGGUCUGCGUCGCUCCAGUAUAGACAACACCAAUACGAUGCUUCCGCUGAGGAGCGAGGGGGUGGUGCGCUUGCUCUCCUGUACUUGCUCGGCGUCGCAGCCACCUGGCGCUGCCGCGGCUGGAAGCGCUCGCGGCCACCAGGCAUCCACAGCACUUGACGAGCAGCCCCAGCGACGGCCGCAUGUAAGCUCCGAGGAACGGCGGUGCAACUCUGCGCGUGGGUUAUGGCGCCGCUGCAGCAACAUCGAGGAUACCGAGAGCUCAGCAUCGAACGGCGCCGUGCCCCCGCUGACGUCAUCGUCUUCCACCUCUCUAGCCACAGUCGGCCCCACGGGGAACACGACUGCCGCCGUGGUGGUACUUCACCGCGCAGGACAGCCGAAGAGCGUCCCUGCGCCAACCGCACCAGUAGUCGCCGCACCGGCGGGCGAGCCUGCGCCAUCAACACGGAAGCACACGGAACGCAUGAACGGAAACGCGAUCGGCAAGGGCAGUGAGGCGGCCCAUCCGCCGCUCUCCAUCCGCCGCGGAGAGCAGCGGUUGGUCAGCGCGCCAGCGUCAGCACCCUGCGGUGGCUUUGCGCGGCUGAACUCAUUUCUCGACCUCGUCCGCAGUGGGAGCUAUCACGACACCGAGCGGUGCACGACGCUGGAGCACGAUGUUGUUGUGCACACCGCAUCGAAGGUAGGUGUGUCGCCGCCGCGGCAGCGCGUCGAAGCGGUGCGCAUCGGAUCCGCGUCAGGGCGGCGUAUGCCGCUCUCCCGCGACUUUGAGCGUUCUCUAUCUUCUCACGUCGAACCCGCAGAGGGUAGCGUUGACGAUAUGGGCAACCUACGCAGCGUCGUGCGGUGCGAGUCUCUUUACAAUGGCAACCUGCAACUGCCCGGUACCACCGCCCGCCCUGUCUCCGCACGGCGGGCAUCGUCUUCCUUUCAACGCUGUGACAGCUCGCAGAUGCGAGAGAUGCCCACGCCGCGUCGUCUCAUGACCCCGCGCUUGCCCAGCAGCGUACCACGCAGCCGCGCUACCCAGGCACAGGGCAGCGCGCAGCGCAGUUGGUCGCAACUCGCCACCGACGAUGGCACGACGCACAAGACGAGCAUCGGCGCUUUGAGGGAGGGCCGCACCGGUGGCGCCUCGGCGCGGCGCGGGAGCAUUCAGCGACGCCGCGGGAGCCCCACCCAAGGCAACGGAGCGUCAUGUGCCGCGACGACGUCGUCGAACCUUUCCGUGGCGGCACCGGUUCCGGGCCUGCGCAACGGCAGUGCCACCUCAGCCAGGGCUACCACGAAUAAUGUGACGGUAGAGUCGUACUUGCAGAUGAACAAGGAGUUGCACUCGCGCUGCCAGCACUUCAUGAGCAACUUCCUGGACAACUUCGUAAGCGACGCGGAGCGGACUGCGCGGUGCGUGGUGCGACAGACCUACAUGGAUUCCCCGAGCAAGCAGAUGCUGGAAGACGGGAUGGAGCGCGUGUUGGAGUUCGUGUACUACGUCAAUGGCACCUACCCUGACAUACCGGCGAUGUACAGCACCACCAGCACCCGCGCCGCGUGUCAGCAAGUGUGGCAGAAAUCCCACUACGCCCUCAGCAAGAUCAAGUCCUGCUACAAGACAGUGAACUGCAAGGUGCCAUCGGUGCUGACCCGUGCCUGCGCCGCCCUCAGCACACGCACGGUGCCGCUCCCGCAUCAAAGGCGACUCACCUCCGUCACCGCCAGGGCCGAAGCCGGGCCAUCGCAGCGCAUGAGUGCCUUUUAGGGGAGGAGAAAGAUGCGCACACCCGCAGACGCAAGAGGGGAAGUGAAGAAGAGCGGCGCGGAGGCGAACCACCAAAGGGCGCCCGCACACGGCGUGCGCCUGCCCGUGCUUGCGCAUGUCUCUGUUCUCUGUGUCUUUUUCUCUCGUCUGUCGAGGAGAGGGAGGGGAGGUACGCGUUCUUUCUUAUCCGAGAACGUUGUUGAUGUGCUCUCUGCUCUCCUCAGUGGCGCCUUCGCUCGCUUUUCCGUUUGUUUCACGUCCUCACCCUUCGGCGUGACGGGCGUAUUCGGGAUGGAUUCCUGUGAACGGGGUGUGUGGGGGGGGCGCUCCUCCUCUUGUUUUGCUGUGCGCGCAUCUUCUCUCUUUAUUCGCCUUCGUUUUUUUUCUGUGUUUCGUCUAACGUCUUCAUGCCCGCCCGCCGCCCAAUGCUGCCGCGUUUCCCUGACCGUCGUGCCUCCGCGCGCGUCUGCGUGUGAGUCUACUCGACAACAUGGGCUGUUUUCAAGGUCCCCUCCCCCAUCACCUUCGCGCCCUCGUUGUGCGUGCGCGUUGGCGAUCGCUCACUUCGUAUCUAGCUUGCUCUGGUAGAACCCGCCGUCUCCGGCCCUUCCCUGUAACCCAAAUCACAUUUUUUCUUACAGCCCCCCCCCCCCCCCCCCCACCGCCCGAGCCGCGCGGCUCCGCAUCCGCCAUGAUUGUUGUCGCCCAGCUCGUAGACUGCGGCAGACUCCGUUGUUGUCGACUCGACUUGGCUGCUGCUCUCACGUCUUCUCCGGCUCUUGCCCUUCGCCUGAGUACUCUGGCGUGCACUGUCGAACGCCUUCCUACGGUACAGCAGCGGUGCUGUCGUGGCCGCGCGGUCCGCUCGCGCGUGAUGCGUGCCGUUGGUGGACGGUGUGGCUUGGCGAAAGAGAGUGGACCAGGGCCGUGCUGCGGCAGUGGCUCAGGAAGUGAUGAUGACGCCACACGCGAUACAGCGCACACGCCCCAUACUCCCUCCCUUCACUCGCUGCCGUCGUCUCUUGCGGGCGAGCUGGGAUGCGCACACCCUUUCCAGGUGGUAGUGGCAGGCGUCGCUACGCCGUGCCACGCCGCGGCGCGUCUUUGCUCCAUCUCUUCCUUUUCGUUUCGUAGCGCACUUCCUUUAUUGAUCGCCGCAUCCCUUUAGCACUGUGCGCCUGCGCGUGCGCGUGCGUGUGUGUGUGUGUGCCUCUGGCGCACUUCUUCUUGGUUGGUGAAUAGAAUCCCCGAAGUAAGGCCCCCGGCGCCUUUCCCUAUUUUCUUCACCGAUGAUCGCAGGGGGAGGAGGAGGAGGAGGAGAGGGAAUCAUGAAGGCCAACAAACAACGGCGCGGCAGUUGCGCAGAGGAUUGUGAAGCGCGACAAGGCAACGCGCACGCUGCGCCGAGGAGAGGAGGG
rnacentral:misc_RNA from 1 species